rnacentral:rRNA from 1 species
GAUGAACGCUGGCGGCGUGCCUAAUACAUGCAAGUCGAGCGAAAAGACGAGGAGCUUGCGCGUUUGACGUUAGCGGCGGGGGUGAGAGUAACAUGUGGAUAACGUACUUAUAUGUCUGGGAAAAUUUCGGGAAAGCGGAGCUAAUCGCGGAUAAUAUAUUGAACCGCAUGGUUCAAUAGAGAAAGUCGGUUUUGCUGUCAGUUCUCGAUGGAUCUGGGCCGCAUUGGGUGGUUGGGAAGGUAACGGCCUUCCAAGGGUACGAUGCGUAGCCGAAUGGAGAGGGUGAUCGGCCACACGAGAGGGUAGACACGGUCCAUAGUACUACGAGACGCAGCAGUAGGGAAUGGUCGGCAAUAGGCGAAAGCUUGACGGAGCAACGCGGCGUGAGUGAUGAAGGUCUUCGGAUCGUAAAGAUCUGUUAUUAGGUAAAAACAAAUGUGUAAGGAACUAUACACGUCGUGACGGUACCGGAUCAGAAAGCAACGGCUAACUACGUG